AGCUGGAAUCGCUAGUAAUCGCGGAUCAGAAUGUCGCGGUGAAUACGUUCCCGGGCCUUGUACACACCGCCCGUCACACCAUGAGAGUCGAUAACACCCGAAGCCUGUGAGCUAACCUUAGGGGAGCAGCAGUCGAAGGUGGGGUUGAUGAUUAGGGUGAAGUCGUAACAAGGUACC
rnacentral:rRNA from 1 species